rnacentral:rRNA from 1 species
GAUGAACGCUAGCUACAGGCUUAACACAUGCAAGUCGCAGGACUGGCGCACGGGUGAGUAACGCGUAUCCAACCUUCCCAUAACUACGGGAUAACCCGUUGAAAGACGGCCUAAUACCGUCUGGUUCUGGCUGUGGGUGCGUCUGAUUCGCUUGUUGGCGUGGUAACGGCCCACCAAGGCGACGAUCAGUAGGGGUUCUGAGAGGGAGGACACCCAGAGUGGAACUGGGACACGGGCCAAACGAGAACGGGAAGCAGGAGUGAGGAAGAUAGGGCAAUGGGCGAGAGCCUGAAACAGACAGGGAGCGUGCAGGAGGACGGGCUAUGGGUUGUAAACGGCUUGGAUGAAGGGAUAGGUACCAAAUGAAAAAGGACCGGCUAAUUCCGUGCCAGCAGCCGCGGUAAUAC